rnacentral:rRNA from 1 species
GACGAACGCUGGCGGCGNNNNAAUACAUGCAAGUCGAGCGGACCUUUCGGGGUCAGCGGCGGACGGGUGAGUAACACGUGGGCAAUCUGCCCGAUACUCUGGGAUAACGCUUGGAAACGAGUGCUAAUACCGGAUGGUCUUCUUGGUCGCAUGGCSGAGAAGGAAAAGACGCGUUCGCGUCGGUGUCGGAUGAGCCCGCGGCGCAUUAGCUAGUUGGUGAGGUAACGGCCCACCAAGGCGACGAUGCGUAGCCGACCUGAGAGGGUGACCGGCCACACUGGGACUGAGACACGGCCCAGACUCCUACGGGAGGCAGCAGUAGGGAAUCUUCCACAAUGGGCGAAAGCCUGAUGGAGCAACGCCGCGUGAGUGAUGAAGGCCUUCGGGUUGUAAAACUCUGUCAUUCGGGACGAACCGGAGUCUGAGGAAAUGCAGACUCUCUGACGGUACCGGAGGAGGAAGCCCCGGCUAACUACGUGCCAGCAGCCGCGGUAAUACGUAGGGGGCAAGCGUUGUCCGGAUUCACUGGGCGUAAAGCGCGCGCAGGCGGUGAUGUAAGUCUGAGGUGAAAACCCGAAGCUCAACUUCGGGACUGCCUUGGAUACUGCGUCACUUGAGGAUAGGAGAGGCAAGGGGAAUUCCACGUGUAGCGGUGAAAUGCGUAGAGAUGUGGAGGAACACCUGUGGCGAAGGCGCCUUGCUGGCCUAUUUCUGACGCUGAGGCGCGAAAGCGUGGGGAGCAAACAGGAUUAGAUACCCUGGUAGUCCACGCUGUAAACGAUGAGUGCUAGGUGUAGGUGGGCUCAUACCCAUCUGUGCCGAAGCUAACGCAUUAAGCACUCCGCCUGGGGAGUACGGUCGCAAGACUGAAACUCAAAGNGAAUUGACGGGGGCCCGCACAAGCAGUGGAGCAUGUGGUUUAAUUCGAAGCAACGCGAAGAACCUUACCAGGACUUGACAUCCCAUAGACCAGUCUAGAGAUAGACUUUCCCUUCGGGGCUGUGGUGACAGGUGGUGCAUGGUUGUCGUCAGCUCGUGUCGUGAGAUGUUGGGUUAAGUCCCGCAACGAGCGCAACCCUUACUUGGUGUUGCCAGCAUUCAGUUGGGCACUCACAAGGGACUGCCGCCGAUAAGGCGGAGGAAGGUGGGGGAUGACGUCAAAUCAUCAUGCCCCUUAUGUCCUGGGCUACACACGUGCUACAAUGGGCGGUACAACGGGAUGCGAAGCCGCGAGGUGGAGCCAAACCCUGAAAACCGUUCGUAGUUCGGAUUGUAGGCUGCAACUCGCCUACAUGAAGCCGGAAUUGCUAGUAAUCGCGGAUCAGCAUGCCGCGGUGAAUCCGUUCCCGGGCCUUGUACACACCGCCCGUCACACCACGAGAAUGGGCAACACCCGAAGUCGGUGGGGUAACCUUUACGGGAGCUAGCCGCCGAAGGUGGGGCCUGUGAUUGGGGUG